rnacentral:lncRNA from 1 species
GAUCCUCAGGAAGUACAAACUCGGGUUCAGAAUCCUCAGACUCCUGUUACUCCAGUGAGUGCUCCUGUUGCUCCUGCUAUCUCGGCCACUGCGCAGCAUCAGCCUUCACCUCGUCUGUCUAGGCAGCAACUGCAGCAGCAGCUUCCACCUCCCCCCUCUCUCCCCCCUCCACCACCCCUGUCUAGCCUUCCCCCAAAAGAGCGGCUUCCUCUGCCACCCCCACCUCCUCUGUUGGAGAAAGUUGAUCCUCCGCUCGUCACUUUGGAUGACCUCUUCCGAAAAACUAAAGCAACCCCUCGGAUCUAUUACCUACCUUUAUCCCAAGAACAAGUAGAGGCAAAACUUGCGGCCCAGGGAAGAAAUCCUAAGCAG